AAAGCUUCAUCUACAUGUCAAAUGAUCCAAGUUUGGUUGAUAUAGAGGCAACCUAUUUAUGCCUCAAAGUAUGACGAAUGAUCCAUUGAUCAUUCAUUGAUAGUUUUGAAGCAUAGAAGGUUCAAACAUCCCUAAUCAAACCAUAAUCAUGACUUAAUAGACUUCAUUAGCUACUAAUGUUUAAGACCUCGUAAGUGCAUCAAAAAAAGUUCAAAUAAAAUGAAAAAAAGCAUAAUAAAAUAGAAGAGGAAGAAAUAAUAUGAGUUUAUGUUGGAAAUAUUUUCAGCAAAAUAAAU
rnacentral:lncRNA from 1 species